AACGAACGCUGGCGGCAGGCCUAACACAUGCAAGUCGAGCGCCCAGCAAUGGGAGCGGCAGACGGGUGAGUAACGCGUGGGAACCUUCCCGAUAGUACGGAAUAGCCCCGGGAAACUUGGAGUAAUACCGUAUACGCCCGAAAGGGGAAAGAUUUAUCGCUGUCGGAUGGGCCCGCGUAGGAUUAGCUAGUUGGUGAGGUAAUGGCUCACCAAGGCGACGAUCCUUAGCUGGUUUGAGAGAAUGACCAGCCACACUGGGACUGAGACACGGCCCAGACUACUACGGGAGGCAGCAGUGGGGAAUCUUGGACAAUGGGCGCAAGCCUGAUCCAGCCAUGCUGCGUGCGUGACGAAGGUCUUCGGAUUGUAAAGCUCUUUUGCCAGGGACGAUAAUGACGGUACCUGGAGAAUAAGCCCCGGCUAACUUCGUGCCAGCAGCCGCAGUAAAAC
rnacentral:rRNA from 1 species